AUGCUGUGCUCAUGCUUUAAGGACUAUCUUCCUGGAUGCUGUAAUUGUUGCACCUUUGUUGGGCUUAGGAUGGAAGGCGCUGCAAAUAUCUGCUCCAAUCUCUGUCCCAUGUGCAGGGAUGCCUCUCCACUAGACUCAGCUCAAGGCUUCAUCCCCAUGGCCUUGAACACCCCUAGGCUUGUCUUAAUGGAGCACUUGAGCCUGGAAGAGGAGCUGCAGCCAUGCCUGGGGCCUCUCUUCCAGAAAUUGUGAUCUCCUCACAAUAUUGGAGUUUCACUUUUCUCUGACCUUCUGGAGAUGAUAUGGAUGCUCGUCCAAUGCAAAAAUCAUCCAUGUGGUGAAAACAACACUGGAAAAUGUAAGCAACUUCUCAUACUUGAAUGUAGGAAGAGCACCUGUAGGGCUGAGAGAGAAAACACAGGAGAUAGCUUGCUGUUUACCAGAAGGCAGUCUGGACCCGUGAAAGAAGGUAUUACCUCAUGUAAACAGCUGCUGGGCAAUCUGGCUUGGUGGAUGUAAGAACAAUGCUCUGCAUGAAGCCUCCUUGUGUCUGAAUUAUGGAAAGGCUUUCUUUUUCACCAGCUGAAGUUCUAAGGAGACUAACUUCAGUCCAGCGUGUGGGCUGACGCCUGUCAGCUGCCCGGGGCGCUGCUGCUGGAACACCUCCCGCAUCACUGUGCUCCUCGUCACACAGCGAGGGCUCAGCAGGAGUUGCAGGCUGUUGACGUGCUCCUGGUCUUGAUCUGAAAUUAACUGCCACGACUUGAGUCUUUGGAGAUGAUGCCAGAAGGAAGAACAGAAGACCUAUGAGAUAGCAAAGAGCAAAUAUGAUGUAGAAUUGUCCAUUGGUAGUCUUCAAAGGGAGAGGUUUGAUUUUUCUUUCACAGCAUGGUUGCUGCACCUUGCAGCCAUACAGGCUCCCAUUUACAGCUUUUGACUCACUGUUGUCUCAACAGCUCUGUGGGUUUCUUUUGCCAGGAGAGAUUCAGUACUGUAUGUGAUGAUAAAAGGCUCUUUGUUCUGCUCUGCAGCCUCCUCUGCAAGACUGAGCAAAACAGCCUUGUCACAGUUGUGGAAACUACUGAUACUGGUGCAGGAGUUUGGAGGAGAGGCAAAGAAAAGAAAGAAUCUUUUCCCGAGUUAGCUUCUGGAGUGUAAUUUCUUCGAAGGAAACUUCAUAAUUGAAAUAUUACAUAAAUACUGCACCUUUUGUAAGGGCAUAUUUGUCUAAGAUGCCCCCAUCUACUAAACUUACUUGUUUCAGAGGUCAAAAUGAUUCAUGUUUCCGUUUUCCUUCCCCUUUUUGUGUGUGGAACCAGUUCUUUAUAGCUCGUCCUUUUCUUGCUCUCAAUCUCUACCUCUGUAGGACACACUGUAUUACUCUAAUUGCUUCCAAAAUCUCUAGGUUUUGCUGUUCAUCUGAAAUACAUUUGGGAGUCCAGAUUGAUUCUUGGAAGUAUACAAUAUCGUUGUCAUCUCCAGUUAAACUAAUUUGAAGGUUUAAU